rnacentral:rRNA from 1 species
UUACUCCUACGGGGGGCAGCAGUGAGGAAUAUUGGUCAAUGGGCUUACGCCUGAACCAGCCAAGUCCCGUGAGGGAAGACUGCCCUAUGGGUUGUAAACCUCUUUUGUCAGGGAGCAACGCCGGCUACGUGUAGCCGGACUGAGAGUACCUGAAGAAAAAGCAUCGGCUAACUCCGUGCCAGCAGCCGCGGUAAUACGGAGGAUGCGAGCGUUAUCCGGAUUUAUUGGGUUUAAAGGGUGCGUAGGCGGACGGUCAAGUCAGCGGUAAAAAUGCGGUGCUCAACACCGUACAGCCGUUGA